GCAGUAGCCGCGGGAAUACGUAGGGUGCAAGCGUUAAUCGGAAUUACUGGGCGUAAAGCGUGCGCAGGCGGUUAUAUAAGACAGAUGUGAAAUCCCCGGGCUCAACCUGGGAACUGCAUUUGUGACUGUAUAGCUAGAGUACGGCAGAGGGGGAUGGAAUUCCGCGUGUAGCAGUGAAAUGCGUAGAUAUGCGGAGGAACACCGAUGGCGAAAGCAAUCCCCUGGGCCUGUACUGACGCUCAUGCACGAAAGCGUGGGGAGCAAACAGGAUUAGAUACCCCUGUAGUCCCUGUCUCUUAUAC
rnacentral:rRNA from 1 species